CGGCGACGGGUGAGUAACACGUGGGUGAUCUGCCUUGCACUCUGGGAUAAGCCUGGGAAACUGGGUCUAAUACCGGAUAUGACCACGGAUUGCAUGAUCGGUGGUGGAAAGAUUUAUCGGUGCGAGAUGGGCCCGCGGCCUAUCAGCUUGUUGGUGGGGUAAUGGCCUACCAAGGCGACGACGGGUAGCCGACCUGAGAGGGUGACCGGCCACACUGGGACUGAGACACGGCCCAGACUCCUACGGGAGGCAGCAGUGGGGAAUAUUGCACAAUGGGCGGAAGCCUGAUGCAGCGACGCCGCGUGAGGGAUGACGGCCUUCGGGUUGUAAACCUCUUUCGACAGGGACGAAGCGUGAGUGACGGUACCUGUAGAAGAAGCACCGGCCAACUACGUGCCAGCAGCCGCGGUAAUACGUAGGGUGCGAGCGUUGUCCGGAAUUACUGGGCGUAAAGAGCUUGUAGGCGGUUCGUCGCGUCGAUUGUGAAAACUUGCAGCUCAACUGCAAGCUUGCAGUCGAUACGGGCGGACUAGAGUACUUCAGGGGAGCUUGGAAUUC
rnacentral:rRNA from 1 species